CCUACGGGUGGCAGCAGUGGGGAAUCUUGGACAAUGGGGGGAACCCUGAUCCAGCGACGCCGCGUGAGUGAAGAAGGAUUUCGGUAUGUAAAGCUCUAUCAGCAGGGAAGAAAAUGACGGUACCUGACUAAGAAGCCCCGGCGAACUACGGGCCAGCAGCCACGGUAAUACGUAGGGGGCCAGCGUUAUCCGGAUUUACUGGGUGUAAAGGGAGCGUAGACGGUGGUGCAAGUCUGAUGUGAAAGUUCGGGGUCCAACCGCGGGACUGCAUUUGAAACUGGUGAACUGGAGUACAGGAGAGGUAAGCGGAAUUCCGAGUGUAGCGGUGAAGUGCGUAGAUAUUAGGAGGAACACCAGUGGCGAAGGCGGCUUACUGGACUGUAACUGACGUUGAGGCUCGAAAGCGUGGGGAGCAAACAGGAUUAGAUACCCUAGUAGUC
rnacentral:rRNA from 1 species